AUUGAACGCUGGCGGAAUGCUUUACACAUGCAAGUCGAACGAUGAACCUUAGCUUGCUAAGGGGAUUAGUGGCGAACGGGUGAGUAAUAUAUCGGAACGUGCCUUGUAAUGGGGGAUAACUAGUCGAAAGAUUAGCUAAUACCGCAUACGCCCUGAGGGGGAAAGUAGGGGAUCUUCGGACCUUACGUUAUAAGAGCGGCCGAUAUCUGAUUAGCUAGUUGGUGGGGUAAUGGCCUACCAAGGCGACGAUCAGUAGCUGGUCUGAGAGGACGACCAGCCACACUGGAACUGAGACACGGUCCAGACUCCUACGGGAGGCGGCAGUGGGGAAUUUUGGACAAUGGGCGCAAGCCUGAUCCAGCCAUUCCGCGUGAGUGAAGAAGGCCUUCGGGUUGUAAAGCUCUUUCGCAAGGGAAGAAAACUUACCAUCGAAUAAAUGGUGAGGCUGACGGUACCUUGAUAAGAAGCACCGGCUAACUACGUG
rnacentral:rRNA from 1 species